UAAAAUGCAAUUUUUGGUUGAUACAGGGU
rnacentral:sRNA from 1 species